UACGAAAGGGGCUAGCGUUGUUCGGAAUUACUGGGCGUAAAGCGCGCGCAGGCGGUCUUCCAAGUCAGUGGUGAAAGCCCGGAGCUCAACUCCGGAACUGCCAUUGAAACUGUGAGACUUGAGUAUGAGAGAGGUGAGUGGAAUUUCCGGUGUAGCGGUGAAAUGCGUAGAUAUCGGAAGGAACACCUGUGGCGAAAGCGGCUCACUGGACCAUUACUGACGCUGAGGAGCGAAAGCGUGGGGAGCGAACAGG
rnacentral:rRNA from 1 species